UGUACGUAGGAACAAAAUGUACGUAGGAACAAAAUGUACGUAGGAACAAAAUGUACGUAGGAACAAAAUGUACGUAGGAACGAAAUGUACAUAGGAACGAAAUGUACAUAGGAACGAAAUGUUCAUGAACAGGUUUCUUAUCAUAGUUCAAACUACUCUGAAAAUGUUCAUAUGCGCUGUAAUAGCAUUAUAAUGCUUAUGACGCCCAGCAUUCAUUGUUGGUAUCGAUGGCUCACAACUGUACACGGUAACUGAAGUAAAGACUUUCUGCGCCGCCUGUUUUCAUUUAUAGUCGGGCCUCCGUGCCAUAAGGUCUUGAUGUAGCUUUGUCGGUACGUUUCUAGAAUGAACCGAGGUUUUCACGGUACGCCUCUAGAAUGAACUGAAAUAUGCUUUUCGGUCUAAUAAUAACAUAGGUUAACGCGAAGCACCAUAGACCAUAGUAUAUAAAGCAUUAGAUGCAGUAGAUUCAGUCCAAGUGCAACUUUCUCUGCUAGAUUUUACCACGGGAUAACAUAGUGGGAAAAGGCGGUAGAUAGAAUUUGCCGGGAUUGCUAAUAUACAGGACCUGGAUGCUAAAGGAUGAUUCUAUAGCACGGCGCACAAGGCACAACGGACGUACAGGGUACGACGUUCCGAAAGCCGUUACGGUUAAAUCUUUCCGCAUGUGUUGAUAAUUCACCCUUAACGUUUGGAACGCAUUUAAAAAGACCCUUGCUGAUGCAACUGGAAAAAACGUCAGAGUUGGAAACGCGUUACAAUUCGUCCACUGAUUCAACUGGAAACAAUGUCAAAGUAAAUUCGCUCAUCCAACGGAAAAAGUGUGAGGACCCCUUCGAACUUUUUGUGUAUUGUGACUACCAGCAGUGAUCCGUGUGCAGUUCAUCAAGUCUUUCAGCUCGUCUUUCUAUGUUUGUGUAACUCCGACCAGUCAAGCAGAAGGCGAUGCUGCGAUUUUAAUGAUACUGUCACCAAUUGCCACCACAUCGACUGUUCUUUAUGUUACUAUCCGACCCGCUCGAUUGACAAUCGUUCCUUCGUUCGUCAUCCAGCUUUUCCGUAUUAGUCUCAGCAUAACAACCCUUGACUCUAUUGAACGCGUCAAUCAAGCUCCAACAGCACCAAGGUUAAAUAGCGAGUUCCGUCGGCAUCCUGUGUUAGUCAGUCUUUUGACUCUUCUCCGGUAUGUCCACAUACGUAUCAUGAUAAAUAUCUCCUGUAGCUAUCACGAUACGAAGCGUAUUUUGGCAAGUUGGCACUCGUCCGCCGUACAAUCAGACACUCCAGUGAUGGGAGUCACAUGACCAACAGCAUAAACUGUCGCUUCCCGUAACAGCGACUUCCUUUGUAAUAGAGCCACGUUGCAAAGGCGAUAGUAGUUAUUAAUGCUAGUGCCUAGUAUCCUUAUGGCUCACAACGUGAUACGUCUCUUAACACGCUCCAUGUUUCACCUAAUGGUCACUCGUAGUGUCGAUUGGUUGCUACGUCGGCAAGAUGCAAUGGUUGGCAGGUGCCAAGGGUCCUUCGACAGAGUGCGCAUCAUACUGCAGGCAGGGUUUGAGGAUACGGGGAACAUAAAAAUCUACUGAGUUCUAUCUAGGUCAGAUGUCCUCGUUUUCUCCGGUGGGUGUCGCAUAUGUAAGUGUGCUGUGGCGCUUAACCGUGUGAACAAAGCAAUACAUGUACAGUUGUUUUUAUCCUUAGCUACAUGAAAGAAUGGAUAUCGGGUGGCGCCGCUUUACAACACAACUUCACAAGUAAUACAUCACCCAGGCUACUAUUUAUAAAUAGCAAAGAGAACAAAGAGAAGGCGGAUUUUAUGUGCAUGGUUCAUCUAAUGGAAGCUGCUUUUACAUUGAGACCGCUACAAAUUAUCGACUGAAACCAUCGAAGAAUCUUAUCUUACGAGGCCUAGAGGAAUUGCUCAUAAAUGUCAAACUUACCGCAGGCGAGUGUUCAAAUUGAGUGACGUAUAUCUACUUCUUUAGGACCGUCGCUGCCGCAUGAACUCCUCAGCGAUUCAUCCUUGUCUUGAGCUUUCAUGGAGACCGGCUUUAUAAUUAACUGUCAUUGAACGAGCCGAACCGGAAAGACCAUACUUGCUAAUAUGCAAUAUUAAUUUGCCUUUUCAUCCAUCCGUAAAACUAACUCAAAAGUUACGCAAGAUCUUUGAGUUCAAAACCCGUUAAAAUACCGGUAUCAAAAUAUGAACAGGCAGGUGCAAAACUGAUCGGCACUUAAUUCAUAAUGCGUUUCGUGCCAGUUAUAAGCGCUUGCCAUUGACCUUCGUCCUAUUGUCCGGCAUCUUGCUCAAUCCCUAUACUUCGUACUUGGAUACUCUAGCCACCGUUACCUGAACAGUUAUUUGGCAAGUACAAAGCUUCGAGUCUGCAGAAAUGACUCCUUCUCGUUAAUCAGCAAAGAUAAUUACAUCUCGGGAUCUAGUUGUUCGAUUAGUGCAAGUUUUAACCUCCGGCUUGGCGAUUCGUGAUCCCACCAAAGUGUACAGUACGCGUAGCUGUAUCGAUAGGCCAGUAGUCCAGGUCGAGUGUGAUAUCGGCGAUUCUCAAGAGCAAAUCCUCUAUAGCUUAUUCUGCCGUAACGUCCCCAGUGAAUAGCGCGUUCAUUUAAAGCUAAAUACCAAAUGUCAUGUCGAAUCGCCUCAAGUCGCAUUGGAAAGCAUUUAUUGCACUAUACCUCUACAUCGUCAUUGGCCAUUCAAUGAAAGCAAGCGACUACCUCACAACUAAAUAGCAAAGUGCGUAAUGAUAACACGGCAUGAUAAUCGGCAGAAGUAUGAAAAAUUCAUCCAUCGUUGAGCCUGUUCUCAGCUUAAUCUAACCAACAUUGCGUGUCCUACCUGGAUUAUGGUACCAUGGCUAGCACAAUUGCGGAAAACCAUUUGGCUACCAUUGAUGAACUCCUUAUGGUAAUUGUCUCUUCGUACGAAAUUUGCCUAUCUGCACGCGACACAUUAGUCGUUAAUUUAGCAUAUUCAGAAGCUAUGCGAAGCAGUUAGCCACCCUCAUUUUGAUUAUGAGCACGUAUAGACUAAUCGUUACUAGAUACUAAAUCUAAGUAUUUAGUGAGGGGGGAACGUAAAUUUGAUGCUGUUUAGCGGUUCAGGGGUCGUGGAAUGUGCAACAGUGCAAUCGGGGACUCUGCAAAACGCCGUUACAGCGAAAUGGAUUGGAUUGUGACACCAUCUUAGCGAAGCUGAACUUUUUCAUUGCAGUUCAACAGAUACGAGAUGAGCUACCUUACAAUUGAGUGAAUAGUAGGCCAUCACCAUACCGGCUUUCGCUACUCGUGUGAUGCGGAAGCACGCAUGCUAACGUCAGACGACGAUUAGUCAUAUACCGUUUGUGCAUUACUGGUUUGUUCGAGUCAAGUAUCGAACGAAUCAGGCAUUGAGCAGUCUGAAGAGACAGCGAAAGGCAACUGCGUCGCUGACAUACGGGAUAGUAUCGUUUGCAAAAUAGUAUUUUCCAAGCAGAUCAUAUUCAAGCAUAUAUAUGUAUGAGGGGAGAGGAAGUGUAUAUAUAUAUAUAUAUAAAGGGGUAAGAUAUAUAAGUGUAUAUAUAUGUGGGGAGGGGGGGGGGUAAGGUAGCGAGUAGGUAGAAUGGGUGUAUUGUGCUUUGUGCGGAAUCUACCGUUAGAAUCCGUUUUUCAUAGGUAUGUUUUCAUUGGACCGUCGGAGAUUCAAGAGGAGAGACACCGCUGCGAAUUUGAACCCAGCUACACGAGUGCUUGCUGAAGUAACAGCAUAGGUACAAUACCAGAAAAACAAACGCAAAAUUAAUGCGAAAAGCAGGUAAUCCCUGUUCAAAAAAAAAAUAGAUACCAGCGCUGCAUCUUGGAACGUUUCGCGAUGUGGACGUAUCAGUCAGUCCUCCCGAGUUAGAGAAACUGUUCGUUCCGUCGUAAUUCGCUGUCAUCCCUAUGGAUGAACUGUAGAUGAAUGAAUCUCGAUCUACGUGAUCUUUCGACUUGCAUGAUCCGAGUGUCGAGGCUACGACGCGUAACCGCCGCGUAAGAUUGUCUUUUGAAGCGUUACUGGCGAAACCAGUAAUUUACUUAGUUAACUUGCCACAUCUAAUCAGACUGCCAACUGUGUAAUGUACGUACCACUGCCGAGGUCUGGAGCUACAGUCUGGGGAUGUCGCACUGGAGGUGCCAGUCGCCCGCGGAGGUAUCUAAAGGUUUCGAAGACUGAAGCAAAUGCCCGCUUGAUAAACACAGCGUUUAAGUGAACGGUUACAUAAGUGAAAAUACGGUGGGUUGUAAGUACCGCGUGACUGUUCCGGGAUCCGAUUAGGAGCAAUCGCAAAUUUCUCACCCACAGGACGUUUGACGAGACGGAAGAGGCUCUUAACAAAACAAGCGUACACACGAAUAACUCAGGGUUCCGAAGUAGUGUCGAUGACGUUCUUCUGCCGACGUUUUUUAUGGGCAUCUCUUGGCGCUUUUGCCUCAUAGUUCCACAUCUACAACUACCCAUCUACAAACAGAGUGAUUGGUUACGUACUCAACGUAUUCUUCUACGUACUUCUCCAUUAGCCAUCCGUGAUCCGUCAACGUAAUCAGCUCAGCUAUAUUUCUCAAUAGAAGCAAGACGCUUCCAUAAACCAGUGUUUCGUUCACUGUGUGAUUCGGCUGUUUAUCAAAAACUCGCUUAUUACGGGGUAACAUUGACGCUGCACGAUAAGCGUAGAAAAUCCUAAGUUAACUAGUAACGUUCUCAACCAAAUCACAGCAAACCAUUUCCAAGAAACUUUUUUGUACGUUUCAAUCUUCUGUUGCUCUGCUUCCAACAAGGCAGUUUCCCGAAGCCAAUCAUCAAACAUAAGACAACAGUAAACAGAGUGGUUGCUAUUUACCAAACAGUUAGUCAGACCAUGCUAGAUGGCAGGCAGUGGAAGGGCUAUAUCGCAAAGGCAUUGACAGCUGCCCUUGGAGCUGCUGUUAUUUUGUUUAGUGUCCAGUUCCUUUCACAACAACCGAGCCGAGUGAGAAAGGUGCAGCCCCUCGAGCGUUGGCAUUUAACGACUUUGUACAGAGGGAGGCAGCAUCGUCUCAGCUCUUCUGUAGCCACGAGGGUCUAUCACGAGACUGAGCGGAGAGGGACAUAGUGGUCAGCUGUGCCUCAUACCACGGGUAAGCCGAAGCGCUGGCUAACUGCCUAGUUGUCUUGGCUUACCAUGCCACGUCAUCGAUAGGAAUUAUCGCUAAGCCACGAGAGACCAUCGCGGCUGGCUGCGAGUCCGUUAGGGUUGCUGCUGCUCCUGCUUGCCAUGCACUAUGGCUUCGUUCGCAGCCAUCAGUGGUGCUCGGUAGUAGCAGCUCCAGCACAUUUCGGCUUUCGUCGUAAUGCCAGCAUGUAUAUCCCAAAUGGCCCGAAUCGGGCCGAGACAAACCUAGCUUGGCCCCUCUUAGCAAGCUCAAGCAGCUUCACCUCAAUAUAUUAUCUACGUAUGUGGAUCUAUUGGAGGAGUUAGAGGACGAAGAGUGAGACGACGUUACAUACCGAAACGCCAUCGGUGGUCUUCCCGUCGUCUUCUGACGAACAUGAUCCUUCUAAACUCUAGGAGUGUCAGUAUUAUUGUACUGAUAUAAGUGCAAUCACUAUUAUGCCAUUAGGUUGACGACAGUGUACCAAUGGGUUCACGAUGUUGUUGCCAUUGGGAACGAGAACGGGCCACAGCGAAACACUACGGACUGAUGUUGAAACUGCCAUUGUAUGCAUGCGAAGUAUUUAGUCGUGUCAUGAGAAUACCGUAAAUCAGUCAAUUGAUUGAUAUAUAAAACAGAUAAUUGACGGUUCAAAUUUAUUAGCUGUGUGGCUUUUUCUUUGACUGAAGCCAAUGGGAAAACGAAUCAAAUGAAUACAAUGUACUAACUAUUGUAUUUGCCUGUACAAAGAAACAACAGAACUAACGUCGAUAUUACGAGAGCUGUUAUUUCGAGUCCGGCUUUCAGCUGACGGAACUGAAAUUGAAGUCAAACCAAAGCCACUGUUUGAUAAACGGGUACAAAGAUUAUACUGCCGAAUGGUAUACGACGUAGCUUAUUUUCAAGGCUGUGAUCAUUACUUUCAUGUUUCAGGGUUUUUGUUGUCAUUGCAUGAACAGAUUUCAAAAACUACAAAUGUGAAUAUAUAUAAAUUUUAAUUUAAACCUAAAUCUCGCCCCUCAACGACUCAAUGCCCUUAACUUUGGGACAUUGUAAUGUGAGGUGUAACUGUCGCGUACAGCGUAGCAACCUUACGAUAUAUCACGGUAUUCUGUUACAGUUCAAGGUACUACAUUCACAAUGUGACCCAUCUAUAAAACUACGUUUGCACAUUAAUCUAGUCAUCUAACCUCACGAGAGGUGUUAGUUGCUUUCUGUACAUUUAUCUAUCUAUAAAUAAAACCUGGAGUAUAAGCCUCUUUUGUAAAUUUAAA